rnacentral:rRNA from 1 species
CGCAGACGUCUGAUAAACAAGUUAAUAAACUAAAACUUUCAACAACGGAUCUCUUGGUUCUGGCAUCGAUGAAGAACGCAGCGAAAUGCGAUAAGUAAUGUGAAUUGCAGAAUUCAGUGAAUCAUCGAAUCUUUGAACGCACAUUGCGCCCCUUGGUAUUCCGGGGGGCAUGCCUGUUCGAGCGUCA